rnacentral:lncRNA from 1 species
GUCAUUAGAGCAUAAAAAAAAAGAUACAAAUGUUCAGACUGUUUAAUAGCAGCAUCAGUGUUCUGUUUAUUUAAUGGCUGACAACCACUAAGUGGAAGAGGAAGGAACUGAACACAGGGAAACUAGUCUGCUCAAGAUAAAACAUCUCCAAGACCUCUCGCCAUUGACCUUUGGUGGUCCCACAAAUCAGUGGCCCGGUCACUGCCUGAUCAAUUUAUAAUGAAGUGCAUCAUUGACAAGUGCUACUGCUCCACCAUCACCAUCAUCCCCCAGGAAACACACGUUGAAAGAAAUACAAGAUAUCGCCAGGCAGUCCCUGAUGCAGACAAAAACUCCCCCCUCUGGAGCUCCUGCAACGGCUUGCCUCUGGCGUCUGGUUCCAGACUCCAGCCCUCCCUGCAGCCAGAGAAGACAUCCUGAAAUGCCAACCUGCUCAUGCCGGACCCCUGCUUAAAGAUCUCUGAUGCCCACACGUUGCCCCCAGGACACAAUCUUAACAAGUUGGUGAGGCCUUCAGGGUCUUCCCCAACUUGACCCCUGUGACAUUCGCAGCUUCAGCUCUGCCUUUCCAAUACUCCAAACUACCAAGCUGCUGGUGUUCCCUCUCACUUGUGCAUGCAGCGUUGACUUGUCAUAUUCCUCACGUCUCCAAAAUGAUGACCUAUCCUACCACCCCAUUCCUCCCAUCCGUUUCCCUAAGUGGAAAAGCAUCCAGGAACCUCAUCUCAGACCUACCCAUCACGGAGUGGAUAGAGGACAGGACAGUAUUGAGAAUCACUCAGAAAGGGAAUGGCACAGAUCAGCCCUAACCAAGGUGGAGACGCCAGUGGAGACUCCAGGUGACGUCACUCAGAGGCAGACUGCCCUCGCGUGCUCCUCAGCUUAAAUUUCACAAGGAGAGUCUGUAAACAACUAAAAUUGUUUUUUGUUGAUUCCACUAAUCAGCCUGCUCAAGAACAGAGUGUCCAGACUGCCCUCUCUGUCGGCUGCCAGCUAAUCAGUUUAUCCAAAAAAAAACGCAAAAUACAAAAAACUGUAAACAAGAUUCAUCAUGCUUUGAUUGCCUG